rnacentral:rRNA from 1 species
GCUACGGCCAUAUCAGCCUGGGUCGCCCGAUCUCGUCUGAUCUCGGAAGCUAAGCAGGGUCGGGCCUGGCUAGUACUUGGAUGGGAGACGGCCUGGGAAUACCAGGUGCUGUAAGCA